UUUGAUCCAGGAGGACAAGCUUUGAAGAAACAAGAUGCUGCUAUCCGAGAUCAAGCCUGAAGAUCUGAGGAUAGAUCUUCUCAAAAGAAGGAGGAGAUGAUGGACACCAUCCAGCCACAACCAUUCCCCUAAGCAAAAGCAUUGGAUUUGAGGACAAAUCCUUUUCAAGAGGGAGGGGAUGAUGGAAGAGGGCCCAAGCUCACCA
rnacentral:lncRNA from 1 species